rnacentral:rRNA from 1 species
AUUGAACGCUGGCGGCAGGCCUAACACAUGCAAGUCGAACGGUAACAGGAAGCAGCUUGCUGCUUCGCUGACGAGUGGCGGACGGGUGAGUAAUGUCUGGGAAACUGCCUGAUGGAGGGGGAUAACUACUGGAAACGGUAGCUAAUACCGCAUAACGUCGCAAGACCAAAGAGGGGGACCUUAGGGCCUCUUGCCAUCGGAUGUGCCCAGAUGGGAUUAGCUAGUAGGUGGGGUAACGGCUCACCUAGGCGACGAUCCCUAGCUGGUCUGAGAGGAUGACCAGCCACACUGGAACUGAGCCACGGUCCAGACUCCUACGGGAGGCAGCAGUGGGGAAUAUUGCACAAUGGGCGCAAGCCUGAUGCAGCCAUGCCGCGUGUAUGAAGAAGGCCUUCGGGUUGUAAAGUACUUUCAGCGGGGAGGAAGGGAGUAAAGUUAAUACCUUUGCUCAUUGACGUUACCCGCAGAAGAAGCACCGGCUAACUCCGUG